CCCUUAGAUGUUCUGGGCCGCACGCGCGCUACACUGAUCAGUGCAACAAGCAUCCGUCCUUGGCCGACAGGCCCGGGCAAUCUUUGAACGCUGAUCGUGAUGGGGAUAGACUUUUGCAAUUUUUGGUCUUCAACGAGGAAUUCCUAGUAAACGCAAGUCAUCAACUUGCAUUGAUUACGUCCCUGCCCUUUGUACACACCGCCCGUCGCACCUACCGAUUGGAUGGUCCGGUGAAGCCUCCGGAUUGGCGUGCACCCUCGGGUGCUGCCGAGAAGUUGGCUAAACCUUACCAUUUAGAGGAAGGUGAAGUCGUAACA
rnacentral:rRNA from 1 species